rnacentral:rRNA from 1 species
AACAGGAUUAGAUACCCUGGUAGUUCCACCCCCGUAAACGAUGAGUGCUAGGUGUGGGGUUCCUUUUCCGGGAUCAGUGCCGCAGCUAAACGCAUUAAGCACUCCGCCUGGGGAGUACGACCGCAAGGUUGAAACUCAAAGGAAUUGACGGGGGCCCGCACAAGCGGUGGAGCAUGAGGUUUAAUUCGAAGCAACGCGAAGAACCUUACCAGGUCUUGACAUCCCUCUGACCGCUCUAGAGAUAGAGUUUUCCUUCGGGACAGAGGUGACAGGUGGUGCAUGGUUGUCGUCAGCUCGUGUCGUGAGAUGUUGGGUUAAGUCCCGCAACGAGCGCAACCCCUAUUGUUAGUUGCCAUCAUUCAGUUGGGCACUCUAGCGAGACUGCCGGUAAUAAACCGGAGGAAGGUGGGGAUGACGUCAAAUCAUCAUGCCCCUUAUGACCUGGGCUACACACGUGCUACAAUGGCUGGUACAACGAGUCGCAAGUCGGUGACGGCAAGCUAAUCUCUUAAAGCCAGUCUCAGUUCGGAUUGUAGGCUGCAACUCGCCUACAUGAAGUCGGAAUCGCUAGAAGU